AUCCUGGCUCAGGAUGAACGCUGGCGGCGUGCCUAAUACAUGCAAGUCGAACGAGAAGCGCUGUGUUUACAUGGCGUGGACGGUGGCGUCCGGGUGAGUAACACGUAGCUGACCUGCCCUCCGCAGGGGGAUAACACCGGGAAACCGGUGCUAAUACCGCGUACGCUCAGCGGGGUUAGAGGCCCGUUGAGGAAAGCUCUGGCGGCGGAGGAGGGGGCUGCGGUCCAUCAGCUAGCUGGUGCGGUAAAGGCGCACCAUGGCGACGACGGAUAGGGUGACCUGAGAGGGUGACCCCCCACACUGGUACUGACACACGGACCAGACUCCUACGGGAGGCAGCAGUAAGGAAUAUUGCGCAAUGGAGGAAACUCUGACGCAGCAACGCCGCGUGCGGGAUGAAGGUCUUCGGAUCGUAAACCGCUUUUACGGGGGAAGAUAAUGACGGUACCCCGUGAAUAAGUCUCGGGUAACUACGUGCCAGCAGCCGCGGUAAAACGUAGGAGGCAAGCCGUUAUCCGGAUUUACUGGGCGUAAAGCGCGUGCAGGCGGUGGUUUAAGUCGUGCGUGAAAGCUCCCUGGCUCAACCGGGAGAGGUCGUGCGAAACCGGAUCACUGGAGGCAGGUAGAGGCAGACGGAAUUCCGGGUGUAGUGGUGAAAUGCGUAGAUAUCCGGAGGAACACCAGUGGCGAAGGCGGUCUGCUGGCCCUGACCUGACGCUCAGACGCGAAAGCGUGGGUAGCGAACGGGAUUAGAAACCCCGGUAGUCCAUGCUGUAAACGAUGCUGACUGGGCGUUGGCUCCGUCAAGGAGUCAGUGCCGAAGCUAACGCGUUAAGUCAGCCGCCUGGGGACUACGGCCGCAAGGCUAAGACUCAAAGGAAUUGACGGGGGCCCGCACAAGCAGCGGAGCGUGUGGUUUAAUUCGAGGCUACACGAAGAACCUUACCUGGGUUUGACAUAUGGGUGGUAGGGAACCGAAAGGGGACCGACCUUCGGGAGCCCAUACAGGUGCUGCAUGGCUGUCGUCAGCUCGUGUCGUGAGAUGUUCGGUUAAGUCCGGUAACGAGCGCAACCCCUGGUGUCAGUUAUAAGUGUCUGGCACGACUGCCCGGCUAAACUGGGAGGAAGGUGGGGAUGACGUCAAGUCAGCAUGGCCUUUAUGUCCAGGGCUACACACACGCUACAAUGGCCGGUACAAUAGGUAGCCAACCCGCGAGGGGGAGCCAAUCCAAUAAAACCGGUCUCAGUUCGGAUUGCAGGCUGCAACUCGCCUGCAUGAAGUCGGAGUUGCUAGUAAACGCAGGUCAGCCAUACUGCGUUGA
rnacentral:rRNA from 1 species